rnacentral:tRNA from 1 species
UGGGAAUUAGUUCAGUUUGGUAGAACACAUGAUUGGGAUCAUGAGGUCGUAAGUUCGAGUCUUACAUUUCCAA